GGUGAAGCUCAAGAAGAAUGCCAAUCGCAAAGUCCAAGUAAAGUUGAAUGUCCAGAAUCACAAGGUUUUGAUGUAAUGGAAGCAGUACCGCAAGCGUUUCAAUGUCCAAGUCAAGAGCUCGAAGAAGAGAGACAAAAGAAUCUCUACUAUAGGUACCACCAACAUUCGUUUAAUGAUUUACACUCUUACUUGCACGACCAAAGAACAUUUGUCAAAGAAAAAAAGGAAAAGGAAAAGGAAAAAGAAAUUGGAGAGAAAGAUAGCAAAACUGCCAAAGAUUGUACAGAGAAGUAGAAUAGUACCUGUAAAAAUUGUAGAAAUAUUUAUGUAAUUUUGUUGUAAUCAAAGAUUAACAAAAAAAUAUAUAAUCUACUAAAAAAAUACUAAUAAUUUAUCGCCAAUAAAUAUACAUUCACGUUA